rnacentral:rRNA from 1 species
AGCGAACGCUGGCGGCAGGCUUAACACAUGCAAGUCGAGCGGGCGUAGCAAUACGUCAGCGGCAGACGGGUGAGUAACGCGUGGGAACAUACCUUUUGGUUCGGAACAACACAGGGAAACUUGUGCCAAUACCGGAUAAGCCCUUACGGGGAAAGAUUUAUCGCCGAAAAGAUUGGCCCGCGUCUGAUUAGCUAGUUGGUGAGGUAACGGCUCACCAAGGCGACGAUCAGUAGCNGGUCUGAGAGGAUGAUCAGCCACAUUGGGACUGAGACACGGCCCAAACUCCUACGGGAGGCAGCAGUGGGGAAUAUUGGACAAUGGGCGCAAGCCUGAUCCAG